GACGUGGGAGAGAUCUAGUAAAUAAAAAUCGCACCUUGCACGUGGAAGAUUCAUGGUCUACCAAUCAGAAAAGACCAGAUUAGAUGUCGGAUGGAGGUGACAAAGCGAUUAGUGCUUGGUAUUGAAUAUCAGAUGGAGGAUACAAAAAGAUUCUUGUUUGGUCUUGGAUGUGAGAUAGAGCAGUCAAGUCAAGAGAUUGGGUUUUGGUGUUGGGAAGAUAAUGUUUCCGGAAAGAACACGACGGUCUCAGAAAAUGAGUGUUCUGGUUCAAAUGAUUGUCGAAGAUGAAAGAUGAAUAUGAGAAAUUGUGUUUAGGAUUAGGUUAAAAAAAAAAUUUGGGAGUUUUAAGUUACCGAUGCAAAAUAAAAAAAAAAAUAUAUUUCUAGAAUUCAUUAUUUACUCAAACAUGGUUGAUGUCUAGUUCAAGGGUAAACUAGACAAAAUGACAUGGGAAAGUGUCUUACAAACCCAAAAUGUCUUAAUAGAUAAU
rnacentral:lncRNA from 1 species